GAUGAAGCACCUUCGGGUGUGAAUUAGCGGCGAACGGGUGAGGAACACGUGAAGAAUCUGCCUUCAACUCUGGGAUAACUCCGGGAAACCGGGGCUAAUACCGGAUAUGAGCCUUGAUCGCAUGAUCGGGGCUGGAAAGUUUUUCGGUUGAAGAUGACUUCGCGGCCUAUCAGCUUGUUGGUGAGGUAAUGGCUCACCAAGGCGACGACGGGUAGCCGGCCUGAGAGGGCGACCGGCCACACUGGGACUGAGACACGGCCCAGACUCCUACGGGAGGCAGCAGUGGGGAAUAUUGGGCAAUGGAGGAAACUCUGACCCAGCGACGCCGCGUGAGGGAUGAAGGCCUUCGGGUUGUAACCUCUUUCGGUAGGGAAGAAGCGAAAGUGACGGUACCUACAGAAGAAGCACCGGCUAACUAUGUGCCAGCAGCCGCGGUAAUACAUAGGGUGCAAGCGUUGUCCGGAAUUAUUGGGCGUAAAGAGCUCGUAGGUGGUUCGAUACGUCGGAUGUGAAAAUCAGGGGCUCAACCCCUGACCUGCAUCCGAUACGGUCGAGCUAGAGUUUGGUAGGGGAGACUGGAAUUCCUGGUGUAGCGGUGGAAUGCGCAGAUAUCAGGAGGAACACCGAUGGCGAAGGCAGGUCUCUGGGCCAAUACUGACACUGAGGAGCGAAAGCGUGGGGAGCGAACAGGAUUAGAUACCCUGGUAGUCCACGCCGUAAACGGUGGGCGCUAGUUGUGCGAACCUUCCACGGUUUGUGCGACGCAGCUAACGCAUUAAGCGCCCCGCCUGGGGAGUACGAUCGCAAGAUUAAAACAUAAAGGAAUUG
rnacentral:rRNA from 1 species